AGACAGAUGGAAAAUUAGAGCAAAUAUUUGCUAAGCUUAUCAUGAAGUAGAUGAAGAGCCACAGUAAAGAGAAAGGAAUAAUGGGAUCUGCAGUUUACUGUCUACACCGCUUUGGACAAGCUAACUCAUCCUUGCCUUGUGUAAAAUGUGGAGACUGGAUGAGACGACGUCAUAGGAUCCCAGGUUUGACAGAUGAAGACUCUAAGACCCAGAGGGGGGGAGGCACUUGCAAAGAAUAAGUGGCUGAUAAGUGGGAACAGCUUACCCUCACUGUCAGAUGGAUUGCUGAAUGGGGAAAUGCCCUAAGAAAGGUAACUUUCUGGACCUGCUGCAAAACUCUUGAGGCUCAAUUCUGGUUACAACCUGAGAGAUGGUCUGGUCCUCAUGAAAUUUAAAAGAGAAAAGAAAAAAGGGUCUAAAAGAAGGCCUUCAGCAUAGUGGGCAUAUCUUUUAUGGAUUUAUAGAAGCCUGUGGGGAUAAGGCCACAAAGGAGGAGAAGGUUUGGAUGGGUUGCAUUCUAGACCAAUGUAAUGAAUAUCCAUAUUAAUGAAAGCACAGAUCCCUUGAAAUAUAACCUAGUAGUGGUUUGCAAAAAGGAUUGAGGAGAAGAAAACAAAUUAGGAGGCCAUGGUAAUCUUGUCAUGUAGGGGAAUUUUAGCUCCACGCUCUAAGAAAUGCAAGAAAGGAAGGGAUCGUUUUGGGUUGAGUGAUCAGGGAAUGAAUUAUGGAUGAAUUGGCACAUGUUCUGGAUUCUGAAGGGGCUUAUCUGUGGAUUUUUACAGCUAGAGAUGUAGGAAUGGAGCAAGAGCAUUCCAAACAAAACAAGAGUACACAGUGAAAAGGGAUACAAGGCAAGAUUGUUGAGGAAAUAUUUAUGGGUAUGUAGGGUUCCUUGAUCAGGCAUCAUAGGAGAUAAAGAUGGAAAGGUAGGUUUAGUUGGCAAUGAGGAGCAAUUGAAGGUUUUUUAAUAGGGAAUGCAUAAUAAGCAGCACUGUCCUCACUCCAAAUCACAUUUCUCCCCUUCAUAUCAAACUCGACACUAUAGUAUCCUUAUUUAUAGGACCCCUCCCAUUUUUCAGCCUCCCACCCCACCCCAACUUCCUUCUUCUUAAUUUCUCAACUAUAGGAUAGGGAGCAUCACUAUCCUCCCAAUCACCCAGACUCUUAAUCUAGGUUUCAUCCUUGUCUCCUUACUCUCUUAUCCCCUCCCCACAUGUAGCCAGUCUGUUGCAGUUUUAGAAUGAAUUGUAUUAGGUCAUUUAACAAAGGAGAGAGCCAGAAAAAGUAUGUCUGCCUAGCUUAAUGAAGUAGUGAAAAUUAAAAGAAAAAUAUUAAAUGCUGUUUUGUGGAGCCAUCUGCCUCUAGUCAUCUCCUUUCUCAAGUCUCAGUAGUGUCUCAGCAAGACCCUGGAUUCAAUAAAUAUCAGCCCUCCCUAAGGGAACUGGAGAUC
rnacentral:lncRNA from 1 species